GUCGAAUGGGUUUGAUGUAAGCUGAAGUUUGAUCUAAGUAAUUGUAGUGUUUGAAGGUCAGACGGAAUGUCCCUCUGACACCGUGGUUUUUUUCAGAGUGCUUUUCCUGACACUGUUCGUUCUGACACUGAGAACGUCUUGUAUGAGGAUUGAUGGGACAUCACUCCCUCAUGUUUCCCAGGCCUGAUAAAGGAUGCUUGCUUUCCAAAACGAGUCUUAGAGAGUUUAUUUGCCAGCGUUUUUGGUAUCAGAAGGAGUGGGCCCAGAAGCCAGAGCAGCUGGUCUCACAGGCCAGGAGUAGAAACAGUGGCCAUCCUGCCUGAGGGAACCAGAGAGCAGUGCCAGCAGCGACCUUAGCACACAGACACGCUGGGAGGUCACACGUACACUGCAACAGGUGCCCUCAGCCUGCUCGCACUCAGGGGCAGAGGAAGCUGAAGCCUAUGUGAUUCUCCAUCUGCAGGAGGAAAGUGGAGUGCAGCACGUCGCAGAGCCAACCCUGCAGCCACUUGGUCUGGAAAGAAAAGACUUUUCUUCCUUUAUACCCAGCAAGUCCAACUCUGGACAAGAUGAACCCUCUAUUUGCCCCAUGAGACAGAUGAAACGAGAACCUGUUCAACAAGAAUCAUCCCAAAGGACCUGCCUACAGCGUACUGACCCUACAGAGAAAGAAAGGGCUCUACUCUUGUUGUGUUCAUUCAAUUCUCUAUUCCAUUGUUAAGGUGUAGGUGUAGUGGCUGAGAGUACAUCUCUAACCCAAAUUCUGAACUCCUUUAAUCAGGGCUAAAUUUAUAUAAGCCACCAGCAGUCUACGUAGGCCUCAUGUACUCUAGCAAUGUUAGCUCAUCCAUGCAGAUUCCCCCCAGUACAGUAAUAGAUGUCAGUACUACUUCAAACCCAUCUUAAAGAAGUGUUUCAAUUACCAAUAAAAAUUUCUUACCUAUUUACAUAAUCUUCCAUAUUCACCAGACAAUACAUCCUCACAUACAGAUUUUUAUUAAGCUUCUUACAUGUAACUAAGCAUAUAUACUACAUCUGAUAUGCUAACAAGGUUGUUGGGAGUCAACAUUUUUUCCUCCAGACAUCUCUGGAUGUUGGAAGCAAACCGCUCCAUCAAUUUCUCACAAAUGUUUGAGAAGUUGUUUCCAGUUCUAAGCAGGGUGAUAAAACACUUGCCAAAAGUUCCAACCUUACUGACCAUGUGCCAGAAACAUACAAAAUACAAUAAAUUUGAAGAGUACAUAAAAUAAAGCAACAUGUAAGAGAACAGAUCUUGCAAGAGAACUAUGCUGUAGUAUAUGACACAGUACAAGUCUCAAAACAGAUUUCUGGGAUCUUAACCAGGAGCAGGGGUGCUAGCAGUACAGGCCUUUAACACGAAAAAUAGUGUAGCAGAUGUUUUUUGAUGGUUAGUCUAUAAGGGAAACAGAACUAGCAUUUGAGAGUAGUUC